rnacentral:rRNA from 1 species
GACGAACGCUGGCGGCGUGCUUAACACAUGCAAGUCGAACGGAAAGGCCCUGCUUUUGUGGGGUGCUCGAGUGGCGAACGGGUGAGUAACACGUGAGUAACCUGCCCUUGACUUUGGGAUAACUUCAGGAAACUGGGGCUAAUACCGGAUAGGAGCUCCUGCUGCAUGGUGGGGGUUGGAAAGUUUCGGCGGUUGGGGAUGGACUCGCGGCUUAUCAGCUUGUUGGUGGGGUAGUGGCUUACCAAGGCUUUGACGGGUAGCCGGCCUGGGAGGGUGACCGGCCACAUUGGGACUGGGAUACGGCCCAGACUCCUACGGGAGGCAGCAGUGGGGAAUAUUGCACAAUGGGCGGAAGCCUGAUGCAGCAACGCCGCGUGCGGGAUGACGGCCUUCGGGUUGUAAACCGAUUUCGCCUGUGACGAAGCGUGAGUGACGGUAAUGGGUAAAGAAGCACCGGCUAACUACGUG